rnacentral:sRNA from 1 species
ACUUCCGGAGACCUCAUACAAGAUGGCGGCACCCGAGGAACACGAUUCUCCGACCGAAACGUCCCAGCCGAUUGUGGAAAAGGAGGAAACUAAAACAUUUAAAGACCUGGGUGUGACAGAUGUGUUGUGUGAAGCUUGUGACCAGUUGGGAUGGACAAAACCCACCAAGAUCCAGAUUGAAGCUAUUCCUUUGGCCUUACAAGGUCGUGAUAUCAUUGGGCUUGCAGAAACUGGCUCUGGAAAGACAGGCGCCUUUGCUUUGCCCAUUCUAAACGCACUGCUGGAGACCCCACAGCGUUUGUUUGCCCUAGUUCUUACCCCGACUCGGGAGCUGGCCUUUCAGAUCUCAGAGCAGUUUGAAGCCCUGGGGUCCUCUAUUGGAGUGCAGAGUGGUAAGUGUCUGAGAGGGAAGGGAUCCUAGGUUGCCAUCACAAGUGAAGAAUGAGUGUGGAGGAAGGAGAAUGGAGGAAAGUAUUUCUAGCAUAAUUUAUUGACCUAAAGAGCUAAUGUUGUAUUUGAGCUUUGGGAAGAGUAUUAAUUGUAAGGGAAGAACAAAUCUAAGUAGAAAUCUGGCAUUGGCUUUAAAAGAUGUUCAGUGGACUGUGGAAAAAAUUAAGGAUCUCGUCUCUAUGUUCUUUUUUUCUCUGUAGCUGUGAUUGUAGGUGGAAUUGAUUCAAUGUCUCAAUCUUUGGCCCUUGCAAAAAAACCACAUAUAAUAAUAGGUGAGUAACUGACAAAGGUAAAAGACACUGGCAGUGAUGAAUUGGAGAAAAUCUACCAGUGUUGGAUAAAAAGACUUUGAGAAACAGAUUUUGUAACCCUGUUAAAUUUUUUAAUUUCUUAAGUUAAAUUUGGUGGAGAGCUAUGGGGUGGGACAGAUAACUUUAAUUGUUUAUUUGUUUUUUUUUUUUUUCGUCCUGUUCUGAAACGUCACUGUUUCUCCUCAACCUUUCUUGGUAGCAACUCCUGGUCGACUGAUUGACCACUUGGAAAAUACGAAAGGUUUCAACUUGAGAGCUCUCAAAUACUUGGUCAUGGAUGAAG